rnacentral:misc_RNA from 1 species
UCUGAACUCUGGGGUCUAUAAGCA